AUGAAGCUUGAGUACCAUCACACCCCAGGAGGAGGCACAGCUGGCCCCAGUCACCAACACUGCAGCCAUGAGCAGCCGCCACCACCCCACCCUCAGUGCUGCAGACACCAAGUCCCACUCCACUGCAAUGGCUUCACAUCACUGGCACCUGCCAGCAGGGACAACAAGAUCAUCUCAAGGAAGGUUGUGGGAACAGUAAAAUGGUUCAAUGUAAGAAACGGAUAUGGUUUCAUCAACAGGACUGACACCAAGGAAGAUGUAUUUGUGGGCCAGACUACCAUAAAGAAGAAGUACCUUCACAGUGUAGAAGAUGGAGAGACUGUGGAGUCUGAUGAAUGAAAAAAGGUUUUGGAGGCAGCAAAUGUGACAGGCCCUGGUGGAUCUCCAACGUAAAGCAGUAAAUACGCAGCAGACCAUAACCAUUUUAGAUGCUACUCACGUCACAGGGUCCUCCACACAACUCCCAGCAGAAUUACCAGAAUAGUGAGAGUGGGGAGAAGGAUGGAUCGGAGAGUGCUUCUGAAGGCCAGGCCCAACAGUGGUGCCCUCCCACAGGCAAGGGUUCCCACCUUACUACAUGCGGAGCCCCCAUGGGCAUGGACCACAAUCUUCCAACCCUUCUGUGCAGGGAGAAGUGAUGGAAGGUGCUGACAGCCGGGGUGCAGGAGAACCAGGUAGACCAGUGACACAGAAUAUGCAUCAGGAUUAUACACCACGAUUCUGCAGGGGCCCUCCUCACCAAAAACAGUCCCAGAGAGGAGGGCAACGAAGAAGAUAAGGAAAAUCAAGGAGAUGAGACCCAAGGUCAGCAGCCACCUCAACGUGGGUACCUCCACAACUUCAGUUACCGUCGCAGACGCCCAGAAAACGCUAAACCACAAGAUGGCAAAGAGACAAAAGCAGCCAGUCCACCAGCUGAGAAUUCAUCCACUCCCUAGGCAGAGCAGGGCAGGGCUGACUAAAUGCCAGCUUACCAUCUCUACCAUCAUCCAGUUUAGUCCAACAAGAAGAAAUGAAUAUGAAAUUCCAGCAAUAAGAAAUGAACAAAAGUUUGGAGCUGAAGACCUUAAGUGCUUGCUUUUUUUGCCCAUUGGAUCAGAUAAAUAGAACUAUGCAUUAUCUAUGCAGCAUGGGGUUUUUAUUAUUUUUUACAUUUUAUUAUUAUUUUUACCUACAGAUGUCUUUUUUUGGUAAUGACAAAGUCUUAAAAAAAAUGGUUUUUCUCAAUGUACCUUUAAAGAUUUUUAGAUUGUUUCAUAUCUGGUCAAGUUGAGAUUUUUAAGAACCUCAUUUUUAAUUUGUAAUAAAAGUUUACAACUUGGUUUUAAAAAAAAGUCAACAAAUGGCAAGCACCAGUUAAUAAAAGUCUUAGAUAAUUUAGAAAAAAAACUUGAACCUCAGACUUGAAGUCUUAAAAAUCCUAGAAGGAAAAAAUGCAGUAAUCUUGACAAAGGUCUUGGCAAUGACCUUCUGGAUCUGACACCAAAAAUAAAGGCAACAAAAGCAAAAAUCAGUAGAACUACAUCAAACUAAAAGGCUUCUGCACAGCAAAGGAAACCAUCAACAAAAUGAAAAGGCAGUGCACUGAACGGGAGAAAAUAUUUGCAAAUUCUGUAUCUGAUAAGGAGUUACUAUCCAAAACAUUAAAGAACUCAAUACAACUCAAUAGCAGAAAAACAGCCUGAUUAAAAAAUGGACAGAGGAUCUAAAUAGAUAUUUUUAAGAAGACAUACAGAUGGCCAACAGAUACAUGAAAAGAUGCUCAAGAUCACUAAUCACCAGGGAAAUGCAAGUCAAAACCACAAUGAGAUAUCACUUCACACUUGUUAGAAUAGCUAGUAUCAAAAGACAAGAAAAAACAUGUUGGCAAGGAUGUGGAAGAGAAAGAACCUUUGUGCACACUGUUGGUGGGAAGGUAAAUUGGUGCAGCCACUAUGGAAAACAGUAUGGACAUUCCUCAAGAAAUUAAAAAUAGAACUACCAUAUGAUCCAGCAAUUCCAUUUCUGGGUACUUAUCUGAAGGAAACCGAAAAUACUAACUCAAAAAGCUCUAUGCACCUCCAUGUUCCCUGCAGCAUUAUUUACAGUAACCAAGAUAUGGAAACCAUCUAAAUGUUCAUUGACAGAUGAAAGGAUAAAGAAAAUAUGCUGUGUAUAUAUGUAUUAUAUGUUACAUAUAUAUAUAUUACAUAUAUUAUAUAUUGUGUGUGUAUACACACACAAUUAUUUAACCAUAAAAAAAGAAGGAAUUCUUGCCAUUUGUGACAACAUGGAUGGACCUUGAGGGCGUUAUGCUAAGUGAUAUAAGUCAGACAGAGUAAGGCAAAUACCAUAUGAUCUCAUUUAUAUUGGAAUUUAAAAACAAACAAAAAACCAUGCUCAUAGAUACAGAGAACAGAUUGGUAGUUGCCAGAGGGGGAGGGUAGGGAGUAAGUGAAAUGGAUGAAGGAGUUCAAAAGGUAAAAACUUCCAGUUAUGAAAUAAGUCAUGGAAUGUAAUUUAUGGCAUGACAACUGUAGUUAAUACUGUAUUGCAUAUUUGAAAGUUGCUAUGAGUAAAUCUUAAAAGUUCUCAUCAGAUACCACCUCACACCUGUCAGAAUGGGUAAAAUAAACAACACAAGAAAAAGCAGGUGUUAUCAAGGAUGCAAAGAAAGGGGAACCCUCUUGCACUGUUGGUGAGAAUGCGAACUGGUGCAGCCACUCUGGAAAACAGUAUGGAGGUUCCUCAAAAAGUUAAAAAUAGAAUUACCCUAUGAUCCGGCAAUUACACUAUUACGUAUUUACCCAAAGGAUACAAAAAUACUGAUUUGAAGGGGUACAUGCACCUCCAGUGUUUAUAGCAGCAUUAUCAAUAAUUGCCAAACUUUGGAGAGAGCCCAAAUGUCCAUAAGAAGAUGUGGUAUACAUGCGAUCCAGCAAUUGCACUACUGGGUAUUUACCCCAAAGAUACAAAUGUAGGGAUCCGAAGGGGUACGUGCACCCCGAUGUUUAUAGCAGCAAUGUCCACAAUAGCCAAACUGUGGAAAGAGCCAAGAUGUCCAUCGACAGAUGAAUGGAUAAAGAAGAUGUGGUGUGUGUGUGUGUGUGUGUGUGUGUGUGUGUAUAUAUAUAUAUAUAUACACACACACAAUGGAAUAUGCAGCCAUCAAAAGGAAUGAGAUCUUGCCAUUUGCAACAAUGUGGAUGGAACUGGAGGGUAUUAUGCUGAGCGAAAUAAGUCAAAAAGAGAAAGACAUGUAUCAUAUGACCUCACUGAUAUGAGGAAUUCCUUAAUCUCAGGAAACAAACUGAGGGUUGCUGGAGUGA